CCUACGGGUGGCUGCAGUGAGGAAUAUUGGUCAAUGGGCGCGAGCCUGAACCAGCCAAGUCGCGUGAGGGAAGACGGUCCUAUGGAUUGUAAACCUCUUUUGACGGGGAGCAAAAGACGCCACGCGUGGCGUUCCGAGAGUACCCGAAGAAAAAGCAUAGGCUACCUCCGUGCAAGCAGCAGCGGUAAUACGGAGGCGGCGAGCGUUAUCCGGGUUUAUUGGGUUUAAAGGGGGCGCAGGCGGAAACUCAAGGCAGCGGUAAAAUUGAGAGGCUCAACCUCGUCGAGCCGUUGAAACUGGUUUUCUUGAGUGAGUGAGAGGUGUGCGGAAUGCGUUGUGUAGCGGUGAAAUGCAUAGAUAUCACGCAGAACUCCGAUUGCGAAGGCAGCAUACCGGCGCUCAACUGACGCUCAUGCACGAAAGUGUGGGUAUCGAACAGGAUUAGAUACCCGAGUAGUC
rnacentral:rRNA from 1 species